rnacentral:rRNA from 1 species
GACGGAGGAUGCAAGCGUUAUCCGGAAUGAUUGGGCGUAAAGCGUCUGUAGGUGGCUUUUUAAGUCCGCCGUCAAAUCCCAGGGCGUCAACCCUGGACAGGCGGUGGAAACUACCAAGCUGGAGUACGGUAGGGGCAGAGGGAAUUUCCGGUGGAGCGGUGAAAUGCGCAGAUAUCAGGAAGAACACCCGUGGCGAAGGCGCUCUCUGGAACGCAACUGACGCUGAGACGCGAAAGCGUGGGGAGCAAACAGG